AGUCUUAUAUUCAAUUAUGAUUCCAAAUUGCAAAUUUGGGGGUGAAAGUUUUUCUAAGGCUU
rnacentral:tRNA from 1 species